UAGUCUGUUCUCCACUUGCAGCCCCAAAGCACCCUGCGUAGGACUAGAGGAUCCUACAGAACCUGGAUGAAUGUGUCUGGGGUUUCACAGGCAUUCCUGGAGUGGCCUUGGGAUUAUUACCCUGUCAUCCAGGACUCUGCCCAGUCCUUUCAUCUCCUACCCAGGACCUAGGACUCUAGUCUAUCUGUGUGCUAUGAUGUGGUGCUGCCAUGGAUCCUCAUCCCAGUGUAGUGUCAGUGACAGGAAGUGGACAGGAUGCACGCUGUCAUAAGACUCCUUCAGAGCCUCCAGACGGUGCUGUCUGAAGGCCUCCCUGCCCACUAUAAAGGAGGAAGAACAGCCUUGCUAGAGCUCCAUGCUCCUGGUGACUCCAACCUUUGAGGAUCUGUGUAGAUGUCAAGAUGGGAGACUGCUCUGAAAGCCACCCUUCCUCCCAUCUAGAUAGCAAAUCACCUGUCCAUGCUAUGGCCCUGACCUCCUCUCUUGCCUCUGGGGCAGGGGGGACUUCUCUCUAUGCGCCCCUGUUUAAAGCUGGUUCUGUUGAGCACAGCUGGCAAGUGAAUAGAAGUUAUCCCUGAGUCUGGAGCCUACAGCCUCUCUUCCCUCAGCCAGUGUGAGUUUACCUGCCAACACAGUGCCCACCACUGCUGCAAGCUCUCUCAACAAUCCUACAGACUCCUUCCAUCGCUAAGCACUCACUUCCUCACUCCUACCCAGUUCACCUGGCCACUCCUGAGUGGGAGCACCCUCAGCAGCCUCUCAGGCAGUGGGAGCACCCUCAGCAGCCUCUCAGGCAGUGGGAGCACCCUCAGCAGCCUCUCAGGCAGUGGGAGCACCCUCAGCAGCCUCUCAGGCAGUGGGAGCACCCUCAGCAGCCUCUCGAGCUGUGGCAGCACCCCCAGCAGUCUCUCAGCUGCCUGACUUGGAGAUAUCUGGGCCAGGUGGGCCUGGCUGCCUUUAACCAAAGGGAGGGUAUAAGAGUAAAUUCUGGUCUUGUUAUGCUGUGUGUGACCCUGUUCCACCUUCUCGGUCCCUGUUUUCUGGUCCCAUUCAUCAGCACUCAACCACAUCUUGCUCAACUGCCCUCCUUAACAUACUGCCUUCCUGCCUGCGGCUCCCACCUCUGCCUGGAUCCCCAGCCUCACUUCUUUCACAUCCCUGGCCCAUACUCCCUAGAAAGCUUUUGGGCCAGAGGCCUUGUGUUUUGGAGGGAGCAUGGGAUACAAUGGUCUUCCUGCUGCCCCCCACAACCUCACCCAACCAGGCAGCUGAGGAGCUAGCGACCCCACAACCCACCAACCCUAUGGCUGGCUGGUGGCUGCCUCACCACACAGGCUAGCCAGGAGAAGCCACCAGGCCUCCCAGCUGCAUCUUCUCACUGAAGCCUGUAUCAGAGAUAAAGGGCACUAUCAGUCCCCCGUUCGUGUGCCAGAAGCUGCUUGCAAUAUGAGAGAGAUGUUUAAUUUAUCUCAGGAACUAGGCACGAGUUAUAAAAAUGGUAAUUUCUUGAAGAUUCAAUUACCUGUUUUCAUUGUUACCCUGGUAAUCAAGGAAACGAUUUUUAAUGAUAGGCUGGAAGAUGGUACCAAUCUUGGAGGGAGGAUGGUGCAGGCUGGUGAUUAGGGACCAGAAGGACAAUAUCUAUAGACCAGUGGAGCCAAAGUACCCCAAUGUACUCCCCACCUGCCAGUGACCCCACCUCUGGAGAACUUCAGUCAUCUAUCUUCUGGGGCCUCUGCAGGAGCAACCAGGGCUUCUCAGGGAGGGGCUGAGACCUGAUCUCUGCACCCCCAAGUGAUGUCUCAGAUCUAAAUAACAUCUCCAGGAUUAACAUUGCUUGCAGCCAACAGUACCAGGUGAUUGGAAAAGGGGUUUUAUGGCCUCUUGGGUAAAAUUGAACUUGCAUCCGACCUGUGUUUCCAAGAUGGGAUUUUCCUCCCUGGCAAAUGAAGCACGCUCACACUAAUUACAACAGCCACUCCAGGCCACUCAUCAUACUCAGUGGGCAGGCACUCAUUGAGGCGGGGCCUGUGCCACCCAGGCGUCAGGGCUGGGUCAUCGACGGGAGCCCAAAUCUCUUGAUGACCUUGCUGCUGGCUCUAGAGGAAGGGACAAUGUAGUCAGGAGAGGAGAGAGGAAUGCACAGGGAGAGAUGGAAUGAGGGUAGGCUGACAGAGUACACCAGGGAGGACACAUCUGAGGUUCCAGGCUGCUGGGGCUGCUGGGUCUCACUGGGAACGCAGGGCUCCUCAGUUGGACUCAGGGCAGAACCCUGGAUAUGCUCCAGCAGGACCUGGAAUCUUAGUUGAGGGUGGACUUGGCACAGCUUCUCUUGGGUCCUCCUACCUGGUCUCCAGGCUGCUCUGGCUCCGGCUCCCUCAACCCAGUGACAGGUUGGGUUCUGCAGGAGCAGGCCCUGUCUCCCUCCUACUUUCAGGGGCUGUUGGCUUUGUUGUCAUGCUAUCAGAGGGCAUGGAGUCAUGAAGACACCUCCAGGGAAGCAGGGAGAGGCACGUAGGCUUAGAUCCAGGUCUGGGGAAGGAAGACAUGCCUAUCCUUUUACAUAGAGACCCAGGGACACAGCCGCUACCACUGAUCCUCCCUCCCUCACCAUCCACUUCACAGGCUCAGAGAGUACCGGGGUUUAUCUAGGGUCACAGUGCCAAUGAGCAAGAGUGGGUUGCUAUGGGCAUCAUUGUGGGUGUGUGCCACGCCACUGCUAGGCAAAUGGAUUUUGUCUUGUCUUGGUUUUUUUGAGACAGGAUUUCUCAGUGACAUCCUGGCUGUCCUGGAACUUGCUCUGUAGACCAGGCUGGCGUCCAACUCAGAGAUCUGGGAUUAAUGGUGUCUACCACCACUGGCUCCCUGCGAAGUUUGACUACCAGCUUCCAGAGAGGAUGGCUCCCAGUGUCCUGAAAGGGAACCUUCCCGGGGUAAUUACCUUCUGUUUGCUUGCAGAUCCCUGCAGGAGCAGCCUGUCAGAUGGAAAAAAGCCGGCUGAGCCAUGCUGGAAGGCAGAGGAUGUGUGCGUCUGGGAUAUUGAGUUGUUGGUGAAUCCAUCUUUACCAUGAUGGUUGUGUGGCCACAAACACACCCUGCCCCACCAUGCAACCUCCAUCCCUUCCGCCACUGCCAUGACCUCCACUGUUACCACCAUCACCACAAUCUCUGCCUGAAUCACUACCUCAUCUAUUACCAUCCCUACCACCACAACCUCCACCAUCACUUUUUGCUCUUGUUAGAUAAAGUGUCUCUGU
rnacentral:lncRNA from 1 species